GUUUUAAACCGACCUUAAAUUUCUAUUCACUUUGUUUCAUUUCAAUUCAACCAUCAUUCAUUUCCUUGAACAAUUUCUAAAACAAUUCAAUUUACAAAACCAAAUCCUACAUUGGCUACAAAUAACCCAUAAACCUAUUACACUUCUUUGGAUUUGAAAUCCAAAUAUCCUAACGCAAAGUUGAUAGUCCGUCACACUAAGGUAGGAACUAAGACAUUCGAUUUGCUUACAAUCCCACUGUCAACAUCGAAGCCGCUUCCAUCUAGUUUUCACCUGCAUAUUUUAACAAAAUGAAAUCAACCAGCAGCAGGCCUUGGAUUUCUAACAGGAAGUUCAAAAAGUGUAAGCCCUGCAAAUCCAAAAACAAACGGAAUUAACUUUAAUUGGUUUUAUAAUUUAAGUAACCAAACUCUAUAUUCAAAUCAAUAUUAAUUAACAUCCACACCAAAUUAAUUCAUCAUUAGCUAGUAACAUGUCUUCAAAGAGAACAGUUCAAGACCACUCAUGACAGAACAUAACUCUUCCAACCCUCUCAAUAUCAACCGCCAUGAAAUGUUCAUAACAAGUUCUCAACACCAGUUUCUAGUGUGUGUGAUACCGAGUCCUUGAAGCCAAGAUAACAGUACCAAAUCAUGUACACCACAAGCCCACAAGAAAACUCUCGGUAAAGCCAAAUCGAGCAGCAGAAGUUGAUGCAUUCCGGAAUCAUAACACGGACCUGCAAUCCAAUAUUUCAACAGUGCAACAUCCUACAUCAGAUAACCAUUUCAAUCAUCAUUUCAAUAGCAUAUUAAUUUCCCUGUAUUGACUUUCCUAACAGCUAUUCCAAUACUCUAACACAAUCAACUUAACCAAACUUUACACUAACCAAUUUCUCUCCUGACAGAAAACCAUUCACAACUGACUACUAUUAAACUACUAACCAUUUUAAACAAUGUUUUUUCUUACCAUCCAACUAACAGAACUGCACUGGUAACUAACCAAUAACUGAAAUCUUAAUUUCAUUCCAUCGUUUGGUCUUCAUUUCAUAGGGGAUCGCAACAGAAAAACAGAAGAAUGAAUCCUAUCAUAAGUUCUUCUAACAGUCUAACAUUCUAUUAACACUGAUUACUAACAGGUUUUAAAUCAUACACUAAUUAACACAAUAAUUUUCAAAUGACCUAACAGAAUAACUAACUUACCGAUUUACCGAGGGCUCCCCGAAUCGCCCGAAUCGGUUAGGCUAAGCGCUCUAUAUAAGCCCUCCUAGCCUCAUUCUGAGAGAGUUUCUCUUUUUGGCAAUUUCCGUCUUCAGCAUCUCACUCUGGAACAAGUUGUGUAAAAUCUAUGAUCUUCAACUCUUUUAUUCACUCUAUAACCCUCUGUUCUCCAUUCUGAGUUUGGCAACUUUCAUCUCCGGAUUCAUCCUGCAAUCCCCUGUUCUUCGCUGGUGGUUCUGCAGCCUUCACCCCUUCAUCCAUCCUCAACCUCCAUCGGCAACGGCCGCGUAUCACUGCAAUAACUCAGAAGAACCAAGAAUGAGAACUCGAGCAGAGGAAGACGAUUAACGGAAGCAGAAAGUGACGAGUGAAACAAAGAGAAGAGAAACAUAACCAGUUCGAAAAGCAGUGCAACGUAUCGAUUACCGGAGAACCGCCGCGCCAAAGUUAAAACACCGUGAGUUUAUCUCGACUCAAUCUGUGACACGUUUCUUCUGAUGCGCCAUACGAUUCACUGAUGUCGAACACGGUAAAGACGAAGAUUGUUUAGACUUUAUCUGGAUUUCCGCUUGCUGUUGAACAUUGAAGACGAGAAUCUUGGAGUAACGGAAUUUUAAUUAGGAUUAGUCGAAUUGAUUAGUAUUAGUUGAAUUUUUAGGAACAAUAAACCUUGAUUAAAUAAGAGUAACUAGGAUUAUUCGAGAUUAAAUAGAGUUUUUAGUUUGAUUAGGAUUUUAGAAUGUGAUUAAUGUUUGAAUAGGAAAUAAAUCUUUU
rnacentral:lncRNA from 1 species